GUCCCCGUGGCCUAAUGGCUAAGGCGUCGGACUUCUAUGUUUUCCAACUCCUGAACAUGGACAUGGAAACGUUGUCUCAUCCGAAGAUUGCGGGUUCGACCCCCGCCGGGGAUU